rnacentral:rRNA from 1 species
UACGUAGGUGGCAAGCGUUGUCCGGAUUUACUGGGCGUAAAGAGCGCGCAGGCGGUCGGAUAAGUCGAAUGUGAAAGCCCCCGGCUCAACUGGGGAGGGUCAUUCGAUACUGUUCGACUCGAAGGCAGGAGAGGGAAGUGGAAUUCCCGGUGUAGUGGUGAAAUGCGUAGAUAUCGGGAGGAACACCAGUGGCGAAGGCGGCCGGCUGGGGGUGACCUGACGCUGAGGCGCGAAAGCGUGGGGAGCGAACCGG